AUCUGGCCAAUAAGAAGCCGACUUCGGCCUUAUUGUGGUCUGUGGAUAAAAUCAGGCCAAUAUUUUGUGUUACUGCACUUGGUCAUGUAUACAAACCAGAACAUGUAACACUUACAGGAAAAACAAAU